GCGGGAAUAGCUCAGUUGGUAGAGCGUCAGCCUUCCAAGCUGAGGGUCGCGGGUUCGAAUCCCGUUUCCCGCUCCA
rnacentral:tRNA from 1 species